AAACUAAAAAGGCCGACGUGAACGGAGCACGGUGGAAAUCAUAACAAAGGCAUGAACGCCGAGCAGGGAAAAAAACAAAGCUUACCGUUGAAUCAACUCGGCCCGUCUUCCGGUUUUUUUGAGCCCU